rnacentral:rRNA from 1 species
UACGUAGGUGGCAAGCGUUAUCCGGAAUUAUUGGGCGUAAAGAGCGCGCAGGUGGUUAAUUAAGUCUGAUGUGAAAGCCCACGGCUUAACCGUGGAGGGUCAUUGGAAACUGGUUGACUUGUGUGCAGAAGAGGGAAGUGGAAUUCCAUGUGUAGCGGUGAAAUGCGUAGAGAUAUGGAGGAACACCAGUGGCGAAGGCGGCUUCCUGGUCUGCAACUGACACUGAGGCGCGAAAGCGUGGGGAGCAAACAGG